GUAUGGUUGUGGUAUUCCUUUUGGAUUGUUCAUGGGAAGCCUCAUGUUCAUACUUGGAAAACCAAAAUGGUUUGUGAACUUCGCUGAAGAUAUUGCUCAACAAAUUGCUGAAGAAAUUGCUGCUAGGAAGCGAAGAAGGCAAAGGAAGAGACAUCAAAGACGUUGAGACACGGUUUAAGGAUGACGUAACAACAUACCAGAUGUUGUUGAGGUUGCUGGAGAGUUGAACAGGUUUACAUACUAGUUACAUUAUUUACAAGUUAGUAUUAAUAUUGAGGAUUCAUAUAGCCGACCCCGACUAGCUUGAGAUUGAGGCGUAAUUGUUAUUGUAUUAAUAAGUUGGUGUUGAUGUUCUGGCAAAUGGCAAUGUAUGCCUCUGUUUCUUCACUUUAUAUGCCCGUGGUGAUUUCUAUAGUUUUAUGAAAAUAAAGAAAUAAGCUUUCGACAUUGCAUCAGUUAAUUACACGAAUGGUCAUCUUACUUCUA